AGAGCAUGAAUGGGAAUAAAGUGGGCGCAGACGGUUACUUAAGCAGGAUGUGAAAAUCCCCGGGCUCAACUUGGGAACUGCGUUCUGAACUGGGUGGACUAGAGUGUGUCAGAGGGAGGUAGAAUUCCACGUGUAGCAGUGAAAUGCGUAGAGAUGUGGAGGAAUACCGAUGGCGAAGGCAGCCUCCUGGGAUAACACUGACGUUCAUGCCCGAAAGCGUGGGUAGCAAACAGGAUUAGAUACCCUGGUAGUCCACGCCCUAAACGAUGUCGAUUAGCUGUUGGGCAGCAUGACUGCUUAGUAGCGAAGCUAACGCAUUAAACAUUCCGCCUGGGGAGUACGGUCGCAAGAUUAAAACUUAAAUGAAUUGACGG
rnacentral:rRNA from 1 species